AUUGAACGCUGGCGGAAUGCUUUACACAUGCAAGUCGAACGGCAGCACGGACUUCGGUCUGGUGGCGAGUGGCGAACGGGUGAGUAAUGUAUCGGAACGUGCACAGUCGUGGGGGAUAACGUAGUGAAAAUUACGCUAAUACCGCAUACGAUCUAUGGAUGAAAGCGGGGGAUCGCAAGCCCUCGCGCGAUGUGAGCGGCCGAUAUCAGAUUAGGUAGUUGGUGGGGUAAAGGCCCACCAACCCAACGAUCCGUAGCUGGUCUGAGAGGACGACCAGCAACACUGGAACUGAGACACGGUCCAGACUCCUACGGGAGGCAGCAGUGGGGAAUUUUGGACAAUGGGCGAAAGCCUGAUCCAGCCAUUCCGCGUGCAGGAUGAAGGCCCUCGGGUUGUAAACUGCUUUUGUACAGAACGAAAAGGUUUCUACUAAUACUAGGAGCUCAUGACGGUACUGUAAGAAUAAGCACCGGCUAACUACGUGCCAGCCGCCGCGGUAA
rnacentral:rRNA from 1 species